rnacentral:lncRNA from 1 species
CUCAAAUUCUUUCAGUACAUUUAUUUGGGUACAGUUCUCCUCAUCCUCCCAACAGUCUGUCUUUCCUUUGUAUUUUAUUUGAAUUUUUUUUCACAUAUGGAUAUUAUUUCUCUUUAUUUUAUACCCAAAAGAUUUUUUUUCUGCCUCUUAACAGCAAACCAAACUGUUCCCACACAAAAGAGGCACCACUUACACCCUUCAUAAACUAAUUUCAUCCUUUUUUCUUUACUCUAAAGUUAUAAUUCUACUCAUUUCAGCAAAAUGUUUAUGUGCAAAAGGGGUAGAACCUUGUCGUCUUCUCCACUAGAAUGUCAGCCCCUGGACAGCUGGGAGGGUUUCACUCUGGGUUGGUAUCCCCAGGACCUAGCAGAAGGCUUGGCUCACAGUGAGGGCCUAAUCAAUGUUUGUGGAUUGAUAAGAAACUCUGUAUGAGGGCUGGAAGCUUUCCUCCAAUUCUCAGACCUUGUUUAGGGAGAUCGAUUCAAAGACCAGGAAAGGCUUGUAACCUUGCUAGCUGCUGCUUCUGCUUACAGCCUAUAAUUGCCAAGAAAGGGAAUAAAGGUUAUUCUCCAGGAAAUGCACUCAAAGGGACACUGGCUGGUCAAAUAGACUGUCCGAGGAGUAUGCUGGCACUCCUCCAUGUGGUCUUUCCUAAUUUCCUGAAAUGAUGAGGAAACUGAGGCUACAAGAGGUUAAAAGAUUUGCUCAAGGUCAAACUGUUUGAAUCCCUCUCCUCUUGACCCAAAGUUGUAAAAAUGGAGAUUUGAAUCCCAGACUUCAAUCCCCAGAAGUCCUUGGUACUUCCCAGAAUUCCCUAUAAUCUCACCUGAGUAUGAGAACACAAUUUAGUAUUUAAAGGGCUCUCUGCCUCCCAAGGCUCUCUUCUUCCACUUCUAAGCACGCGUGUCUCUCUACUGGCAUACAAGAUGUAAGUGGCUGUGAAUGGGUUAUUGAGCCCUAGGCAUGUGCUUUUCUUAUUUUGUGUUUUCUUAUUUCCUUGAUUUCUAAUAAUCUUAAUAAACCUCAUAAAAUUUAGUACUUUUAGUAGAUC